rnacentral:rRNA from 1 species
ACGGAAGGCAGCAGUGGGGAAUAUUGGACAAUGGGGGGAACCCUGAUCCAGCGACGCCGCGUGAGUGAAGAAGUAUUUCGGGAUGUAAAGCUCUAUCAGCAGGGAAGAUAAUGACGGUACCUGACUAAGAAGCCCCGGCUAACUACGUGCCAGCAGCCGCGGUAAUACGUAGGGGGCAAGCGUUAUCCGGAUUUACUGGGUGUAAAGGGAGCGUAGACGGCAUGGCAAGUCUGAUGUGAAAACCCGGGGCUCAACCCCGGGACUGCAUUGGAAACUGUCAGGCUAGAGUGCAGGAGAGGUAAGUGGAAUUCCUAGUGUAGCGGUGAAAUGCGUAGAUAUUAGGAGGAACACCAGUGGCGAAGGCGGCUUACUAGACUGUAACUGACGUUGAGGCUCGAAGGCGUGGGGAGCAAACAGGAUUAGAUACCCUGGUA